AGGGAAUACAUCGGAAUCUACCUUGUCGUGGGGGAUAACGUAGGGAAACUUACGCUAAUACCGCAUACGAACCAUGGUUGAAAGCGGCGGACCGCAAGGCGUCGCGCGAUUGGAUGAGCCGAUGUCCGAUUAGCUAGUUGGCGGGGUAAAGGCCCACCAAGGCGACGAUCGGUAGCUGGUCUGAGAGGAUGAUCAGCCACACUGGAACUGAGACACGGUCCAG
rnacentral:rRNA from 1 species